rnacentral:lncRNA from 1 species
GGGGACUGGCCGCAGGACAGCCUGUGCGUAGGUGGUCCUUUUACAUCGUAGACGCGGACCCAGCCCUGCUGCUGGCACACCGAGUCCAGCAGGACGCGGUCCAGCGCUCCGCCCGCCGCCUCCAGCUCGUCCGAGCCCAGCUCCGGCUCCGCCAGCGCCUCGGCCGCCCAGGCCGCCGGCUCGCUCGCCGCGGGGGCCGCCUCCAUGGCGAGGAG